UGGAGUAGUGUAGGAGUCUCAUGGACUUUCCUGCCUGGGCUGGCUUCCAACUGCAAUCCUCAGAUCUCAGCCUCCUGAGUAGCUGGAAUUACAGACGUGAGCCCCGGGUGCCUGGCUUGUAUUCCUCAUCUUUUAAAGGAGAGGAAAAAAGCCAGAA